GGGCCCGCACAAGCGGUGGAGCAUGUGGUUUAAUUCGAUGAUACGCGAGGAACCUUACCAGGACUUAAAUGUAAGUUGCAUGAUUCAGAAAUGAAUCUUUCUUCGGACUACUUACAAGGUGCUGCAUGGUUGUCGUCAGCUCGUGCCGUGAGGUGUCAGGUUAAGUCCUAUAACGAGCGCAACCCCUAUCGUUAGUUGCCAUCAAGUAAAGUUGGGAACUCUAGCGAAACUGCCGGUGUAAACCGAGAGGAAGGUGGGGAUGACGUCAAAUCAUCAUGCCCCUUAUGUCCAGGGCUGCACGCAUGCUACAAUGGCAAGUACAACGAGUCGCAAUACCGCGAGGUGGAGCAAAUCUCUUAAAGCUUGUCUCAGUUCGGAUAGGAGUCUGCAACUCGACUCCUUGAAGUUGGAGUCGCUAGUAAUCG
rnacentral:rRNA from 1 species